AUGCUUGAUUCAUCAGCAAAUAUACUAAAAUUAGAAUGAUAGAGAAGAUUAAGAUGGUCCCUGAGCAAGGAUGACAUGCAAACUUGUGAAGCAUUACUUUUCUUU
rnacentral:snRNA from 1 species